UCGGGCGGGCGGGCGUUCGGGCGGGAAGGGAGCGCGGCGCGGAGCCUCGGGGAGCGGAGCCGGAGGAGGCCGGGCGAGGAAGGCGACCUCAGACCGCGACGCCGGCCCAGGGCUGGGCCCGCCUUGUGCUCUCGGAGGCUGUGCUGCCUCACAGGAGGGACGCGCGGCGCGUUUCAGUGUAAACCGAAUCACACCGACCGUUUGCAGUCCCCAUUUGCAAACCAGAAGAUAAAGGAAAUGGGCAUCCUUGCCAGCUCUGCCUGAGGGGCUCUUUGGAAUCUACUGUAUUUGCUUUCCCACUGAUCUUCAAACUCCAAUUUCUUUUGGAUCCUGGAAGCAGUAGAAGGUGUCUGCCCUGGUGAGAGGAAGAAGGAGGUGAAGAAAAAAGAACACAUGUGUUCAGAUGGAAAGUAGCCUCCAAGAUCACACACUACACAGAGAUGCAGUCACAGACUCUGCCCCAGAUCAUGCUACCCUGAUCUUAGUGAGGAGAUGUGGGGAGAGAGAAGACCCUGCCUGCCUGCCUGCCUGCCUGGAGCUCUUCAGGCCUGAUGCCAGCGUCCGCCCCACGCAGGGAGAGGGCUCCACACACCAGAGCUGUGCAGCGCUCCAGCGACCCUGAGCUCCGAGGGCUGGAACCCACAGGGCCAGAUGCUGAAGCCGCUGCUAUGGCAGUGAAGACCUAGACCCUACAAAAUUAUUUUAAUAUUCUGCAGAUCUUGAAACUUAAGCCGGGCACAGUCAUCUGUACUCUCCUACAGCAGGUAUUUCUGAAACCCCGUUUAGUGUGGGUGUGUGUCUGUCCUCUGCCCUCUACCCCAGGCAAUGCCCUCCUGACAAUGUGGGAAACCACUGACAGCACUCCCUCUUUCAUUCCCUUUUUCACUUUACUUUUGUAUCUCAUUAGAAGUUCUGGCAUUUAGGGAUCCCUGGGUGGCUCAGCGGUUUAGCGCUUGCCUUCAGCCCAGGGCCUGAUCCUGGAGACCCGGGAUUAAGUCCCACGUCGGGCUCCCUGCAUGGAGCCUGCUGUGUCCCUCUGCCUGUGUCUCUGCCUCUCUUUUUCUGUGUGUGUGUCUCAUGAAUAAAUAAAAAAUCUUAAAAAAAAAAAAAAAAAGG
rnacentral:lncRNA from 12 species